UAGACAGGGCCCAACCGAAUCCGUCCCCUCAGUAAUAACGACCUUUGAUCAUUCAAAGAUCGUCAUUGCUGGUUAUUCAUAUACCUUUACACAGAGGUACUUCCUAUUUCUAAAAUAAUCUUUGUCUUCUCUUAUUUGAUUGAAUUGAUUAUUGAUGUCAAAAGGAAUUCUAUGCUUUAUGGUUUUAACUUUUAUGUAAAUGUCUAUAAAUUCAAAUUAAUAAGUAAGUUAAAAUCGUUAUUAUGAUUCAAUACACAUUCUCAUUCUGUAGCUGCGAUGAACCAGGACAAAAAUCCAAUUUUAACGACGGCUUCCCAAGUUCUGAUCAAAUCUGGGGAAUGAUAGGCACAAUAUUUGCCUCUGUUGCAUGUUGGAUUUUGUAUAGAAAGAUAAAAGUACAAAACACAAAUGUUCAAGAAUAUCGUCACCGAAACAAAGGACGACUAACAUCACACUCUUUUAGAUAAAUAUUAUGUAGGUAAUAAAUAAAAAAUCGUUUAAAAAUA